AGUCGAGCGAAUGGAUUGAGAGCUUGCUCUCAUGAAGUUAGCGGCGGACGGGUGAGUAACACGUGGGUAACCUGCCCAUAAGACUGGGAUAACUCCGGGAAACCGGGGCUAAUACCGGAUAACAUUUUGAACUGCAUGGUUCGAAAUUGAAAGGCGGCUUCGGCUGUCACUUAUGGAUGGACCCGCGUCGCAUUAGCUAGUUGGUGAGGUAACGGCUCACCAAGGCAACGAUGCGUAGCCGACCUGAGAGGGUGAUCGGCCACACUGGGACUGAGACACGGCCCAGACUCCUACGGGAGGCAGCAGUAGGGAAUCUUCCGCAAUGGACGAAAGUCUGACGGAGCAACGCCGCGUGAGUGAUGAAGGCUUUCGGGUCGUAAAACUCUGUUGUUAGGGAAGAACAAGUGCUAGUUGAAUAAGCUGGCACCUUGACGGUACCUAACCAGAAAGCCACGGCUAACUACGUGCCAGCAGCCGCGGUAAUACGUAGGUGGCAAGCGUUAUCCGGAAUUAUUGGGCGUAAAGCGCGCGCAGGUGGUUUCUUAAGUCUGAUGUGAAAGCCCACGGCUCAACCGUGGAGGGUCAUUGGAAACUGGGAGACUUGAGUGCAGAAGAGGAAAGUGGAAUUCCAUGUGUAGCGGUGAAAUGCGUAGAGAUAUGGAGGAACACCAGUGGCGAAGGCGACUUUCUGGUCUG
rnacentral:rRNA from 1 species